rnacentral:misc_RNA from 1 species
GCAACAGCCACGUCUUUGGGACCAGAGAUGGCAAUAAGAAUCUCAUCCAUGAAGCGGCAACAAUGCACCCUAAUUUCAGAGUAGCCCAAAUCAUGGCAUUCUUGAGAACCAUUACCAGAUAUCUGUCUCCUGAACCAACUGCGUAGCACGGAGUUGGGUGCACUUUCUUCAGCACUUGAUCCUUUAUCAAUAGCUUCAUAUCUCAUUGACAACCUGUACAUUUCGUGAUCAAAGAGAUCAAGAUAUAUGUUCAUUAAAAUUGGAGACAAUGCUCCUUCUUGUGGGAGACCAUGUCCUUUUCGAAAGCCGCCAAAUUCUAAAUUCAGUACUCCACAGUCAAACAUACUACGUA